rnacentral:rRNA from 1 species
UACGUAGGGGGCAAGCGUUGUCCGGAAUCAUUGGGCGUAAAGAGCGUGUAGGCGGCCCGGUAAGUCCGCUGUGAAAGUCCAGGGCUCAACCCUGGGAUGCCGGUGGAUACUGUCGGGCUCGAGUCCGGAAGAGGAGUGUGGAAUUCCUGGUGUAGCGGUGAAAUGCGCAGAUAUCAGGAGGAACACCAAUGGCGAAGGCAGCACUCUGGGACGUGACUGACGCUGAGAAGCGAAAGCGUGGGGAGCGAACAGG